UGAGCAAAAUCGCUUAGUGUCAUGUCGCUGUUUUGUUUUAGGAAAUACAGACCGAUCACUGAGCUUUCCCAUUAAGAGUCAAUAUAUGCAAAGCACGUAGGACAGCGAGCUCCUGCCCACUCUUGGACACCACAGGUUGGGCUGGCUGCCUGAACGUGCACCUGAUUUUCAACUCAGAGACCCGUGCUCCAAAGGGUAUCAGAAGAGGGAAUUUCCACAAAGAAGUUGGUCAUCAAAUCAUGGUGAAAUGUACUUCCCAGCACCAAAAGACUGGAAGGGCAAACGUAUGGUGUAAUCUCGUUUUGUGAAAGGAAGGAGGAAAAGGAAACGAAGAAGCAAAGAAGAAACAUCAUAUAUGUGUGUACAUAUUUGUAGAAACUUGAAAAGUGAUGUAGAAGUCGACAAUCUAUGAUGCAGACGGUGCUUGCCUUGAGAGGAGUUUGGUGCAACGAGGACUGGCAGGGAGGUGAUUAACUUUUUCUUUAUGUAUCUCUGUAUUUUUGACUUGUUACAAGAAUAUAUUAAAUGCAUUUUUACAAGUUCAAUUC